CACCAUGAAGCCUUUUAAGGUAUGCAGUCGGUCUUGAAACAGAGCAAAGCAAGAUGGAAGAUCAACGUGGCUUGGGAAGUUGGGUUGAGGAACAGAUAAUAAUUGACGGUGCUUCCCAUUCCAGCAGCAGCCCUCCGCUCAAAUAACAACGCCCAAGCCUACUUGGACCAAAUCAUUCGCAAACUGACACCAAGCCACAGAACAGGCGAUGGAGUGCUCACGUUUAAUCGGGGCGGCAAGGCGUUGCAGCUGUUUUGUCGGCAGACCCACCUCGUGGACCAUCAUCGGCAGACCGUCAUCAAGGGAAAAACGAGACGUGUGCGUGAUACAUCCAUCACUGGCCGUGGGCACAUCACAGUCGCUCUUGUUUCUUCGUGUAUGGAUUGGUGACAGGGGAAGACUUUUGUUGGAUGAGAGGUGAGGGAAGAAAUGUUGGGCAUGUUCGAACAUCCUCUUAGUAUUAGUCUAUCGCAGUUCUCACGCUAGUGGCAGAACCAUGCGCAGUGUUUCCGGACCCUAACUACACCACCGAUUACUCAUAGUAGCCACUACUGCCCACAGUGCUCAGCCUGCGACCAGCCGUAAAACCCAGCCCUACCAGAGGCGCAUCCCAAUUCAAGCGGAUCUUGAAGAUGAACGAGAUUCAUGGCUUACUUAUCAGUAUAGAUCUCAUUCCUAAGGACCCAAGGACCCAAGGACCCAAGGAGAAACUCUAGGCAAUCUACCAAUAGAGGGUUGUUUCGCUUCUAGAGUCACCAAAAUGCCUACGUACCGGAAUCCGUUCGCAGUAAUCAUUGGUCUCUGUUGUUUUCAACUCCUUGAAGUAGCCUCAUGCACUGCUAUUUUACGCUCAUCCUGAUGAUCUGUGCUUUUUCUUCCCUUCACACCCUCGUCAUGUUAUUGGGCAGGAUUAUCUGUUUGAGUGACGAUGUACGUGUGCACCGUAAACUUACUCCCCAAGCUCA